AACAAUGCAUGAGAUAUGAACACAAAAUCCCACAAGGGCGCUUUAUCAGGGAACUUGCAGAAUCAGCUGUAGUGAGAAUAGAAGCUGAACAAAAUCAAAUGGAGAAUCAAGAUAAAGACAUCGAUGAAAACUCAUUAGCUCAUAUAUCGGAAAUUCUAAAAAAACUGUGCGAGUCCCUGGCACCCGCAGGCGUAGUACAUCGUUGGAUACAACAAAUGACCCUUCUAAUCGCAAGAAUAGCAAAUCUAUUCGAACAAGAACUCUGAUUGAAGAAGCAAUUCAGUGGGUCCAAGCGGAGAGAAGGUUGUGAUUUGUGUUGAUGGAACCGAUAUCAGCCUGAAGACGUGCUUCCUCUUCGCAUAAUUGGC